GCCCUGUUAGCUCAGUUGGUAGAGCGUGCGGCUUUUAACCGCAAGGUCGGGGGUUCGAGCCCCCCAUAGGGCG
rnacentral:tRNA from 1 species